rnacentral:rRNA from 1 species
AUUGAACGCUGGCGGCAUGCCUUACACAUGCAAGUCGAACGGUAACAGGUCUUCGGAUGCUGACGAGUGGCGCACGGGUGAGUAAUACAUCGGAACGUGCCCGAUCGUGGGGGAUAACGGAGCGAAAGCUUUGCUAAUACCGCAUACGAUCUACGGAUGAAAGCAGGGGACCGCAAGGCCUUGCGCGGACGGAGCGGCCGAUGGCAGAUUAGGUAGUUGGUGGGAUAAAAGCUUACCAAGCCGACGAUCUGUAGCUGGUCUGAGAGGACGACCAGCCACACUGGGACUGAGACACGGCCCAGACUCCUACGGGAGGCAGCAGUGGGGAAUUUUGGACAAUGGGCGAAAGCCUGAUCCAGCCAUGCCGCGUGCAGGAUGAAGGCCUUCGGGUUGUAAACUGCUUUUGUACGGAACGAAAAGACUCUUUCUAAUAAAGAGGGUCCAUGACGGUACCGGAAGAAUAAGCACCGGCUAACUACGUG